UUUAAUGAGGGUCGGUCGCGCAACAAUAUCCUAGCUCUGAUUUUAUGUUCUAUGAACAUUUUAAGAGCUUAGGCUAAUAACCCAAUAACUAUUUAUUCCAACAAGGUUUUCUUGGUCAUUUGGGUCCUUUGUCUCACGACAAAAAAACCGGGAAAUGGCGGAUGUUGCGCCUGAUGGCCGAUCUAAUUUUGUAACCAUCGCGAUAGAUGACGUAUUUU
rnacentral:telomerase_RNA from 1 species